rnacentral:rRNA from 1 species
GAGUUUGAUCUUGGCUCAGAUUGAACGCUGGCGGCAGGCCUAACACAUGCAAGUCGAGCGGUAGAGAGAAGCUUGCUUCUCUUGAGAGCGGCGGACGGGUGAGUAAUGCCUAGGAAUCUGCCUGGUAGUGGGGGAUAACGCUCGGAAACGGACGCUAAUACCGCAUACGUCCUACGGGAGAAAGCAGGGGACCUUCGGGCCUUGCGCUAUCAGAUGAGCCUAGGUCGGAUUAGCUAGUUGGUGAGGUAAUGGCUCACCAAGGCGACGAUCCGUAACUGGUCUGAGAGGAUGAUCAGUCACACUGGAACUGAGACACGGUCCAGACUCCUACGGGAGGCAGCAGUGGGGAAUAUUGGACAAUGGGCGAAAGCCUGAUCCAGCCAUGCCGCGUGUGUGAAGAAGGUCUUCGGAUUGUAAAGCACUUUAAGUUGGGAGGAAGGGCAGUAAAUUAAUACUUUAGCUGUUUUGACGUUACCGACUAGAAUAAGCACGGCUAACUCUGUGCCAGCAG